UACGUAGGGUGCAAGCGUUGUCCGGAAUUAUUGGGCGUAAAGAGCUCGUAGGCGGUUUGUCGCGUCUGCUGUGAAAACUCAGGGCUUAACCCUGAGCUUGCAGUGGGUACGGGCAGACUAGAGUGCGGUAGGGGAGACUGGAAUUCCUGGUGUAGCGGUGAAAUGCGCAGAUAUCAGGAGGAACACCGAUGGCGAAGGCAGGUCUCUGGGCAUUAACUGACGCUGAGGAGCGAAAGCAUGGGGAGCGAACAGG
rnacentral:rRNA from 1 species